rnacentral:rRNA from 1 species
GAUGAACGCUGGCGGCGUGCUUAACACAUGCAAGUCGAACGAUGAAGCCCAGCUUGCUGGGUGGAUUAGUGGUGAACGGGUGAGUAACACGUGAGUAACCUGCCCUUUACUCUGGGAUAAGCCUGGGAAACUGGGUCUAAUACUGGAUAUGACUUCUCAUCGCAUGGUGGGGGGUGGAAAGAUUUAUUGGUCUUGGAUGGACUCGCGGCCUAUCAGCUUGUUGGUGAGGUAAUGGCUCACCAAGGCGACGACGGGUAGCCGGCCUGAGAGGGUGACCGGCCACACUGGGACUGAGACACGGCCCAGACUCCUACGGGAGGCAGCAGUGGGGAAUAUUGCACAAUGGGCGCAAGCCUGAUGCAGCGACGCCGCGUGAGGGAUGACGGCCUUCGGGUUGUAAACCUCUUUCAGUAGGGAAGAAGCGAGAGUGACGGUACCUGCAGAAGAAGCGCCGGCUAACUACGUG